GGGAAGCUGCUGUAUGUGACAAGAGGAUGUAGAGAGCAAGAGCUUGCCUUUUCUGUCCUGCUGGUAGACUAUGUAUAUAGUAGAAAAGUAGUGGGAGCAUGGCCUGUGAAUAAAAGCACCAGAAAAGAGAAGCUAGUUGUGAUGUGCUGGAACUGUUGUAGCUGCUGCUGUUAAAGUCUGAUCCCGUUUCAUCUCAGGCAGUGUUUAUGAUUCAACUGGAGCUGGAAUGGAAUGAGGUCAUCAGUUCCUUUUACACUGCCCACUAAACGGAUGACUUUCUGAAGAUGUUUGAUGUGGUUGGGGUUUCAACUCUGAAGUCUGAAGAAUGUAUGACCAAUAUUGUACUUUGAAGGUUCAUUCAGUGACCUGAUCAGUAGGGUGGAAGGGAGCACUGUCAGGAAGAUGUCUGUGAUGUAUCGCCCAGGUCUAUUAGGAGAGCGAAUCCAUCCCUCAUUAUCCUUGGGAUACUGACACAUCUGAUGAAUCAGAAUUGACAUCAGGAAGAAUGGUUUCUUUCUUCUGUCUUAAUUUUAAUCACUGAUUUGUAUGAAGCAGUGGCACUUUAUUGAAAAUAAAUGUAAACCACAGCUAGCUAAUUCAAUUGUUGUUUGUGAUGAAAGAUGAUUUUCUUUAGCUCUGUGCAGACAAUGAAGUUUUUCUGUUCAGCUACUGGUGUUUCAGUUUUACUCAGCACCUCUUAUUAUGGCAGGGCUUAGUCAGAGUCAACAUUACUACAUAUGCCAAUUUAUAUCUAUUUGCUGUUAUCUAUUGCUCCAAAUUACCCAUUUUUGUGAAUAUCUAACUGAUGAGACAAACCAGUGACCAAUAUUUAGAUAAGAAAUAUUUCUAGAAAAUAAUGAUCAGAACUGUCUUUCAUAUACCACUGCUUGUAUUGCUUGGAGAGUCAUCUAGCAUUUCAUAAAUAAACAUAAGCGGUUUAUACAUCCUUCAAAUGAACACCUUUAAAAUGGAUGAUUGCAUGGCAGACAGAUGUGCAUCUUUUAUGCUAAAAACCUCAUUGUACUUAGAAAUCCCUUGGUCUGGCAUCUGACUGACAGGGAAGAAUUGUAUUAUGGUAAAGGCACUAGAUUAGGAUGCAGGAAAUGUAGGAGAUGUCUGGCAGAAUAAGGAAUUGAACCUAUGUGACCUUGGGUGAAAAUCUCUGUGCCUCACUCACCAAUCUGUAAAAUGGGGUGAUGAUGCUUGGUUUCUCCUACUUUUGUCCAUUUUGCCUAUUUAGGUGGCAAGCCCUUCUGAGCAGGGUCUCUCUCGGGGUGGGGGUGUGUGUGUGGGGGGGUGUGUGUGUGUGUGUGUGUACAGAGCCUAGCAUAAUGAAAGCCUUGAAUACUUGAACACUACUUAUGGUAACAAAAUACAAUUUGAAUAAAUUGUUACAACAUAGCUAUAAAUCUAGUAUCUGAAACCUUAUAACACAUUCAGUUUCCCUCAUAAUGUGUGCCAUGCUUCAGGAAAAAGUUUAUGAAUAAUCUGGCCUCUUUUUAAGGCUCAGGAGCACAGCAGCAUGUUAAUGAGGAAUAUCAUUUUAGAAGGGCCUUCAGGUUAGAUAAUAGGAAUCCUGAGUUGAAAAUGUGUGGAUUGUUUUCUUGGAUGUGAGGGCAGUGUAAUGUACUGAUUAACCUGUUUGUAUACUACAGCUGUUUGCUGGCUGGAAUAUCUGACCACCUCAAGUAUAAAUAUUUGUCACUCUAACUGGGCCAUAGAGAAUACAAGUACUACUACUUCAUUUAAGAAGCACUGACUUCCACAAAUAAUUAAGCAAAUCUCUUAUGAAACUAUAAGAGCAGGGAGACUAACAGAAGGUAGAAGCUCAGAUGAAGAUUGUCUUCAACUCAGGGAAGGUUCCUGUUGUGAUUUGUAUGUGAUUCUGCUCUGGAGAAGUCCUUUUCUCUCAAGGCAAGCAUAAUAUGUAACUUGUUUGACCAAGGUGACAAGCAUGUGCUUAAGUUUCAUUGAUUUCUAUUUUUAAUUUUUUACCAUUUUCUAAGUAAUACCUUAAUCAUAUGCCCAAUUCAGAUGGAUGCAAGUGCAUGUUAAGCAUUAAACUCCUGUGUAAGUAUUUUGCUGAAUCAGAGCCCAAGUUGUUAGCUCUUAAAGGGUGUGUGUGUAAAAUAUUAUUAUUUUACAUAAUAUUACAAUAAUAUUAUUGAGAUGGAUGCAAGAGCAUGUUGAGCAUUAAAGUCUUGUGUAAGUACUUUGGUGAAUCAGGACCCAAGU